CCUUUUAGUUCAAGUGAGACAACCCUCCUACAAUUGUUAUUACAUUUCCCAUAUGCUAGAAAAGCUAAACUCUACAAACUAAUUUCCACCCGCUGUCAUUUUUUCAUAUACACCAACAAAAAAAAAAAUCUCCAGUACUAAAAGUCAGCCAUAUUGAAAUAUCGCGCCCUGAUUUCGAGAUUUUGUGAAUGGUUUUUUUUUUUGGUUCGUUUGUUCGUUGGUUGGUUCGUUUCGUGUGGUCGUUUUUUCUCUAUCGUUUUGCAUUUUUGUGUUGUGUGAAAAAAUAAAAAGAAAUUUUAAACAAAACUAAAAUCAAAAAUAGCAAGAAUGGAUAAACACUUAAUUCAUCAAAUAUUAAUAAACAUUGAAAGAUAAUAUAAUAUUUUAAUUGAGAGGAAUAUAAAUACAAAAUAAAUAUACACAAAAGAAAAGAAGAAAUCUUUUGGUGUCUCUUUCUCGACGACUCGACGAAAAAAAAUUCCUCCAAAAUAAGUGCAAAAAAACCCACUCAAAAGAAGUUUUUGUUGUGUUGGAAAAGGCCAAAACACCAACAACUGCUUCCGAUUUUGUUUAUCUUAUAAAAAAGAUUCUUUUUUUCGGUUUCUUCCGUUUUUUUUUUUGUUUUGUU